GUGAGUCAUCGAAUCUUUGAACGCACAUUGCGCCCCCUGGUAUUCCGGGGGGCAUGCCUGUCCGAGCGUCAUUGCUGCCCUCAAGCACGGCUUGUGUGUUGGGCCCCCGCCCCCCGGCUCCGGGGGGCGGGCCCGAAAGGCAGCGGCGGCACCGCGUCCGGUCCUCGAGCGUAUGGGGCUUCGUCACCCGCUCUGUAGGCCCGGCCGGCGCCCGCCGGCGACCCCAAUCAAUCUUUCCAGGUUGACCUCGGAUCAGGUAGGGAUACCCGCUGAACUUAAGCAUAUCAAUAAGCGGAGGA
rnacentral:misc_RNA from 1 species